GACGAACGCUGGCGGCGUGCUUAACACAUGCAAGUCGAACGGAAAGGCCCUGCUUUUGUGGGGUGCUCGAGUGGCGAACGGGUGAGUAACACGUGAGUAACCUGCCCUUGACUUUGGGAUAACUUCAGGAAACUGGGGCUAAUACCGGAUAGGAGCUCCUGCAGCAUGGUGGGGGUUGGAAAGUUUCGGCGGUUGGGGAUGGACUCGCGGCUUAUCAGCUUGUUGGUGGGGUAGUGGCUUACCAAGGCUUUGACGGGUAGCCGGCCUGAGAGGGUGACCGGCCACAUUGGGACUGCGAUACGGACCAGACUCCUACGGGAGGCAGCAGUGGGGAAUAUUGCACAAUGGGCGGAAGCCUGAUGCAGCAACGCCGCGUGCGGGAUGACGGCCUUCGGGUUGUAAACCGCUUUCGCCGGUGACGAAGCGUGAGUGACGGUAAUGGGUAAAGAAGCACCGGCUAACUACGUG
rnacentral:rRNA from 1 species